rnacentral:rRNA from 1 species
GUGGGGAAUCUUGCGCAAUGGGCGAAAGCCUGACGCAGCCAUGCCGCGUGGAUGAUGAAGGUCUUAGGAUUGUAAAAUCCUUUCACCGGUGAAGAUAAUGACUGUAGCCGGAGAAGAAGCCCCGGCUAACUUCGUGCCAGCAGCCGCGGUAAUACGAAGGGGGCUAGCGUUGCUCGGAUUUACUGGGCGUAAAGGGCGCGUAGGCGGACAUUUAAGUCAGGGGUGAAAUCCCGGGGCUCAACCUCGGAACUCCCUUUGAUACUGGGUGUCUUGAGUAUGAGAGAGGUGUGUGGAACUCCGAGUGUAGAGGUGAAAUUCGUAGAUAUUCGGAAGAACACCAGUGGCGAAGGCGACACACUGGCUCAUUACUGACGCUGAGGCGCGAAAGCGUGGGGAGCAAACAGGAUUAGAUACCCUAGUAGUCC